AAAGGUACGAUAUAUUACAACCAUAGUUUGAAACAACUUAAUCAUGCAGGUCAGCGUGGUUCUUAAGAAUUUAAAAAUAACAUUUAAGUUUUAUUCUAGAGUAUCAUGAGACUCAUAAGAUACCCUAGGUCUUCAGGGCUUCCUCUUCGGUGGGUCCCUGCUGGCUUUCUGAAAACAACAACAAGGGAUCCCCUGAGUACGAAGUACUCAGCAAGUCUUACCCGACUAACCAAUAUAAUAGUUUUUCUUUGGAAUGCAUGUCAGCCUUUGGGUGUGCUUGGUUGACACAAUUUUGCCAGAAAAGCUUACUAUAAGUGAGGCCUUAGUUUUAUCUUUUAUUUGAGUUAAGUCAUUACCUAACCAUUCUAGAUGAUAACAGAAGUAAAAGCAAUCACAGCGGUUAAAUCAUACAGUACUUGUCAACAGGAGAUUUUAUAUUGCAUGAGUUUAUAUUACGAUGCUUAACAGCGAUCAAGUGCAUUCAUAACCGAGAAUUGCGGCGAUCCGGACCAUAUUACAUCCUGUAGGAGAGUACCCUGAUCACCAGCAUUAUACGACUGUUCUGGUCGUAUCUCACAACCUCUCGAUUAGCAAAGUCAAUGAUUAGGAAUACAACUACCCGGACCCAGGGAUACACCCCCACAUGGGACCCCACGUCUGGCCUGAUCUCCAUGUGAGUUUCAGGCUACACCCCUGCCAAUCUCCAGCACGUCAAAUGCGGGUACGAAGCAUUCCUGAUCAUAGAAUUUACUAAUCUACUAGGCUUUACUGGUCCCAUACCUAGUAAGUGAUUAGAGGUUAUCACUUGAUCAAUGGUUAAGACACGGAUCGGUCCUUAACCAGAUUAAUCUAGCAGACAGAACUACAUCUCUAGCUUCUGUCUGGUUCCAUGUUCCAAACUAUCUUUCAUAAGCAACAUGUAUGACUUUAAGUGUUUGCCUUAAGGUUGGUAAACCAAGCAGGUAAGCAAGUAAGCAAUUCUAGACUUGGGUAGUUUCUAAGAUUUGAACAAGUGGCAAAGAUGUCCUUACAUCAAGGCAGGAUCAUACACAAGAAUAGGUUUCAUCCAACUCCUAGACUUAGUGCAUACAAUAAACAAAUAACCUAUAACUAGUCACAUGAAAUGACGACUCUAAAAAUAGAUAGGUAUAAAUGCACCGGGGCUUGCCUGGGAUCAACAAGGUUAGUUCUUCGGAAAACUUGUUUAUUAAAAGAGGCACUCCACACUUCGCGAACGCUGUCCAUCUCCAGCUGAAUUCCAUGAAUUCCCACUCCAGGAGUUGUGACGUCUACGAUCCAGUAUAUGCAAGAGUAGAGUUAGAGAUGCAAAUUUUUGAAUACAAGACUAUACAACUUUCCUUCAUGAUAAAGUUGCAAGCCAACAAGGACUAUAUAAUUUAUCAUGAUAAAGUUGCAAGCCAACACUCAAAAGCCCUAAAGAUUAGCCCACCAUUUUUAUUUCUUUUACUAAACCUACCUUAGACCUCUUCUUUUAUUUUUAAAAGCAUUAUACUAAUUUUCUAAUCUCAAAAACCUAAUUCUUAUGAAUUAAUAAUAAUUUGUAGAUAAUAAAGCAUUUUUCAAGUUUUAUACAUUUAAUAAGGUUUAAGCAUUUAUUUAAAUACCUUACAAAAAGGCAUUAAAUAAAUACCUAAAUUUUUAUUAUUUUUCCUAGGGUUUAAGAAUUUUAAUGCAUAAAGGAAAAUAAAACAAUCCUAAUAAAAUUGGUUUCACUAAUUUUGGGCACUUCUAGAAUUUCCGGUGAAUUAAAUGGUGAAAACAAUAUUUAAUCUAUUUAUCUAAUAAAGAAAACCUAAGGUUUAAUAAAAACCCCGGCCCAAACUUCUCUCACCUAACCUCCUUCUACCCACUAUCACUUCCACCUAGGGCCCACCCGACCUCCUACUUCUUCCCUCUUUUCUUCACUAACGCGUGGGGCCCACGGCCUAACUUUCUUCUUCUCAACCAUUCGCUGGCCCACUCUUUUCUUUCUUCUAUUUCCUCUUGGGCCGCACGGCUCGGUUCCUUCUGAAUGAAAAACGGCCCACCGGUUCUUUUCUUUUCCGCUUGACCGGCCUGUUAAUCCGGCCCACUUUCUUCCUUCUUCACUUCCCCCUGGGCCACACGGUCCAAUUUCCGUUCAAGCCAUCGGGCAGCCCACCGGCUUCCCCCUUUUCUUUUUACUCGCGCGGGUCAGCUGGGCCGAUUCCUCCCCCUUGGCCCACGAACGGACGGCUGGCCCUCAUUUCUUUUUUUUCUCACUCCCACCUGGGCUUCCCCCACCGGGACUUGGCCUCCCGGCCCAAACUCACCGACCGGCCUGCUUCCCCCCCUCCUUCUUCUUUUAUGCAGCGCGGGCCGGCUGGGCCGGUGCUUUUCUUCGGCCCAAAACGUCUGCCGGCCCUUAUCCUUUUACUUCCCUCCCUCCUGUGCAGCUGACGGGCGGCCCCCUUGGUCAGGGGGCUUCUUCCUCCCCCGACCAAGGCCGGGCGCACGCCGGCGGGAGAAGGACGGGGCAGCCCGGCCGAUGGCGGCUCUCCGGCGGCUCGAGAGGGACGGGGCGGCGGUGCCUAAGGUCAGGCGCACCCGCGCCCACCGCUAGCUCGCCGGGAGGCGGCCCGAGCCGGCCCCUCCACGGGCGGCCGCGGCUUGGCCACCGGCCGGCCAUGGCGGCGCACGGAGACGGCUCAAGAGGCUUCCACGACUCCCCCUUCAGCUUCCAAACUCUCGCAGGACGUCCCUAGGCCCGCUAAUUGAGAAGAAACAUUCGGUUCAGGGGCUCACCUUGGGGAUUGGGUGACGGCGGCCGGCGGACAGUAACGGCGGCGAUUACUGGCUUGCCGACGGGGAGAUGAACUUCGGUUGGGUUGAGGGUGUCAUAGAGGGGUUAUGGAAGCUGCUUGAUGGGUGAAACAGGAGGGGAGACAGCGGCGUGGGUGGAUUGGCCGGCAGCGUCGUCGCUUGACCGAGCUCUGGUUCGCAUGGCAGACGAAGAAGCGGAGGGUUAAACGAAUGAGGCAGAGCGAUAGAGAUGUGAGUCUUCACCGUGCAUGCGCGCCACCUUGAC
rnacentral:lncRNA from 1 species